AUGCCUUAAACUAAUGAGUAAGGAAAAUAACGGUUCGGGGUGACGCCCGAAUCCUCACUCGGAUGUGAGAAGAAUUUUUGCACGGGUACAGGUCGCCCGCGGGUGACUCGUUUACUUUGCGAGAUGCCUGUUGAGCGCGAUCUGCCCG
ensembl:snRNA U12 U12 minor spliceosomal RNA